GCUUACGGCCAUACCAGCUUGGGUACGCUCGAUCUCGUCUGAUCUCGGAAGCUAAGCAGGGUCGGGCCUGGUUAGUACUUGGAUGGGAGACCGCCUGGGAAUACCAGGUGCUGUAAGCA
rfam:Salmo salar isolate Sally breed double haploid chromosome ssa05, whole genome shotgun sequence.